UUAUACUGUGGUGGCAUCACCUCCAAAAUCGCCAAUGCACCACCCACGGCACCUGCUGCCUGAGCAGGGAAUCUGAGAGCCAUGGAAAAGAGAUUAUCCCCACCAAAGCCAGCAGCAUAGAAAGAAGCAGUACCAGUGGGAUUAAAACUAGCUCCACCAAAGAACUCAGCGAUCAAACCAAACAAGAAAAAAAAGAUAAAAAAUAGAACGGUAGUGAUAAACAUAGAUGCCCAGAACAGGUGCUGAACGCCGAGAGCGGUGGCUAUGAGGCUGGUAAACAAACCAAACAUUGACGAGCAGAAGACCCACAUAAAAGUCAGCACUGCAUCACCAAUAGCCGCCUUUAUAGCCCCCAUCGCAAAUUCCUAAAGUUUUCCUCUUUGGGUUUGAUAGCGAUGCAAGGUAUGUUCAAGUAAAUGAAGCUACAGCUGGGUAUCUAGUGAAGAGAGAAUGGUGGCGUUUAGUUGGCCUGGAAUUUUGCGCGAGUUUUGGCAGUAACUGGGAAAGUGGACGUCUUUU
rnacentral:misc_RNA from 1 species